UACGGAAGGGGCAAGCGUUGUUCGGAAUCAUUGGGCGUAAAGGGCGCGUAGGCGGCACCGCAAGUCGACUGUGAAAUCUCCGGGCUUAACUCGGAAAGGUCAGCCGAUACUGCGGGGCUAGAGUGCAGAAGGGGCAACUGGAAUUCUCGGUGUAGCGGUGAAAUGCGUAGAUAUCGAGAGGAACACCUGCGGCGAAGGCGGGUUGCUGGGCUGAUACUGACGCUGAGGCGCGAAAGCCAGGGGAGCGAACGGG
rnacentral:rRNA from 1 species